rnacentral:rRNA from 1 species
CCUACGGGAGGCAGCAGUGGGGAAUAUUGGGCAAUGGAGGAAACUCUGACCCAGCAAUGCCGCGUGAAUGAAGAAGGUCUUCGGAUUGUAAAGUUCUUUAGUCAGGGAAAAAUAAAAUGACGGUACCUGAAGAAUAAGCCCCGGCUAACUACGUGCCAGCAGCCGCGGUAAUACGUAGGGAGCAAGCGGUGUUCGGUAUGACUGGGCGUAAAGGGUGCGUAGGCGGUUAUACAAGUUAGAAGUGAAAUACCCCGGGCUUAACUCGGGUGCUGCUUCUAAAACUGUAUGACUUGAGUGCAGUAGAGGUUAGUGGAAUGCCUAGUGUAGCGGUGGAAUGCGUAGAUAUUAGGAGGAACACCAGAGGCGAAGGCGGCUAACUGGACUGCAACUGACGCUGAGGCACGAAAGUGUGGGGAGCAAACAGGAUUAGAUACCCCAGUAGUC